GAAAAGUGAGGCUCGAUCCUCCCAGACCAACACCGGAACUGCUGGAUUACCUUCUUAGUACUUUAUUCGGCCCUGUGUGACAUGUAGAAGUCUUUUAGUCUCCCAUUUGCUCCAUUGGACCUAAAACAUACCAGGAUCUAAGAAAAUAUUUCCCAAAGCGUGUGAGAAAUCACAACACUCAUUAAACAAAAGGCUUUAGUUUUUGUCUUUCUGUUCAAGACCUAGCCUGUAGAAUCAAUAAAAAUUCGUCCUAGGUAUUAUAUGUGAAGCAGAGCAAAGGAAAGAAUCAAAAGGAAAUAGAUUAAGGGAGAGCUGACUUCGGACGUCAUCUAAUUUCUUUAUUUGCAGCUGGGAAAAGUGAGACCAAGAGAGUGAGUGACUUGCCUAACAUCACACAACCAAUUAGCAACAAAACCAGAACGACUCUUGACUCUGACUCGGGGAUUCCUUUUUGGAGACGUGAAAGGUGCUCCCAGACCUGUCAGAUCCCUGAGCCUGGCUGCCCGUCAUCAUCCUUCCUGACUCCUGGGGCCCUGCUCUUUCCCAGAGGCGGUGCUGCAGGAUUCCUGUGCCUAACCCUAUACAGAGUCCCUUGGACUGGGAGGCUGCAGCACCCAGUGAGACAACAGGUCCUGUCUGCAAGGGCCCACAGUCUAGGAGCGGAGUGACCGAGCCUGGCUGCCCCCCUUACAGAGAAGGCAAAGGUCCCAGAAAAUGACAGACAUGUGGGAUCUUAACUUCCCCUACCAGGGAUGACUAGGGAGCGAACCCACCCACCCUGCAUUGGAAGCACAGAGUCAACCAUGGGGCCACCAGGAAAAUCCCCUCUGGUUCAGAAUCUUGACCGUUUCUUUCUAGCUGUGUGGCCCUGACACCCUUUCUGAGUCUCCAUCCUCAUCUGUCAAACGGGACAGUCUUGAGUGUGGUUGUAAGGAACACCCGGCUCAUAGGAAGAGCCCCAGAGAUGGGGCUGUUAGCAGCAGUUAGCCCAAACUCAGUCCGUCAGCCCAGACAGGGCCCUAGUGAUCACCUGUCUAGACCCUUGCUUUUUGCACAAACACCUGAAAGUCCAGAGGGGAGAAAUUUUCCCAGGCCAUGCAGCCAGCCAGAACCUUAAUCUCCCUCCACCCAGGCAGCUUUGCAUCAGAGCGCCCUUCCUUAUCUCCUCUCGUCCAGCAAAACUCCAAAAAUGAUCACUGGGACUUCUAAAGAAGUAAGUGAGGAUUUUAACACAUCUUUCUAAUGUCUUAAUUGAGAUUCUGGGUUGACCUUUGGGGCAGAGGGUAUACUCUGCUCAUUUGGCCCCUUGACCCUAAUACGCUGUUUGUCUCCUGUUGCUUCUGGCAUUCUUAGUACUCUGAUGCCAACUGUGUGGGCCCCUGAGUAUGUAAGAUGGAUGCCACUGGGGCCUGGGCCUGGGGUUAGGAAAGGCAGAGAGGUCAGGGAAGAGGCAUGGCUGGUUUUCCAUAUAAGCCUCUUUUGUACUCUGAAGCCA